CAGUCGCCACGGGAAUACGUAGGGUGCGAGCGUUGUCCGGAAUUACUGGGCGUAAAGAGCUCGUAGGCGGUUUGUCGCGUCGUCUGUGAAAUUCUGCAGCUUAACUGCAGGCGUGCAGGCGAUACGGGCAGACUUGAGUACUACAGGGGAGACUGGAAUUCCUGGUGUAGCGGUGAAAUGCGCAGAUAUCAGGAGGAACACCGGUGGCGAAGGCGGGUCUCUGGGUAGUAACUGACGCUGAGGAGCGAAAGCGUGGGUAGCGAACAGGAUUAGAUACCCGCGUAGUCCCUGUCUCUUAUAC
rnacentral:rRNA from 1 species